GCUUGUCUCAAAGAUUAAGCCAUGCAUGUCUAAGUAUAAAUCUUUUACUUUGAAACUGCGAACGGCUCAUUAUAUCAGUUAUAGUUUAUUUGAUAGUCCCUUACUACUUGGAUAACCGUAGUAAUUCUAGAGCUAAUACAUGCGUCAAUACCCUUCUGGGGUAGUAUUUAUUAGAUCCAACCAGCCCGGUUCGCCGGAGUCCCUGGUGAGUCAUAAUAACUGAGCGAAUCGCAUGGCCUUGCGCCGGCGAUGGUUCAUUCAAGUUUCUGCCCUAUCAGCUUUCGAUGGUAGGGUAUUGGCCUACCAUGGCGUUAACGGGUAACGGAGAAUUAGGGUUCGAUUCCGGAGAGGGAGCCUGAGAAACGGCUACCACAUCCAAGGAAGGCAGCAGG
rnacentral:rRNA from 1 species